GAACAGACCUAAAUUUUUUAGCUCCUACACCAAAAUUUUAUUUUAAUCCAACAUCGAGGUCGCAAUCCUUUUUUUCGAUUUGAACUCUUUAAAAAAAUUACGCUGUUAUCCCUAAGGUAAUUUACUCUUAUAAUCUCUAUAUAAGGAUCAUAUACUCAUAAAUAAAUGUUAAAAUACRAAAAAAGUUUAUUAAAUUUUUCAAUCACCCCAACCAAAUUAAUUUUUAUAUAAAAAACUAUUAAUACCAAAAUUUUCCAUAUAAAUUUCAAUAAAACUCUAUAGGGUCUUCUCGUCUUUUAUUUCUAUUUAAGCUUUCUUACUUAAAAAUAAAAUUCUAAUAAAUUUAAAUAGAGACAGUUAUUCUCCCAUCAAACCUUUCAUACCAGCUUUCAAUUAAAAAACUAAUGAUUAUGCUACCUUUGCACGGUCAAAUUACCGCGGCCAUUUAAUAAUCUCAUUGGGCAGGUCAGACCUUAAAUUAUAUUCAAAAA
rnacentral:rRNA from 1 species